AUGACUUCCCUGGGCACUGGCCAUAAAAUCUGAUGCUCACUGUGGCCUGGGAGCCCGCAGAGCUCUCUACUUCCUCUAUUCACACUGGCCUCAUGGUGUGUGCAGCACAAAGAGGGAACCCAAAUAAUGUACCAAUAUUGGCUCAUCAAUUACAGCAAACGCAUCAUGCUAAUUAAUGCAAGAUGACAAUAAUAGGGGACACUGUAUAUACCGUGGGGAUGGGGGGCGGGGGUAUAUGGGAACUCUGUACUUCCAUUCAAUUUUUCAGUAGACCUAAACAAUAAAGUCUAUUUUUUUUAAAGUUCUUAUAGAAUUUAACUUACAUAAAGUUAAAAUGGAGUUUGAUUUGUUCAUCACUGUCUCAUCCUCUAGCCCGUGUACGCCAGGAGAACCAGAAGUGGGCCUGAAUCUCCAUGGUGAGUGAAGAGUGACUCAGUGAGUCAGUCGGCAGACAGCACAGGGCAUGGUACAGAGCGGCUUCCAGUGUGUGGAAACAGGUUACCGGGAUGUUGGCAUCCCCUCACCAACGCCUGCUCUGUGAUUGCUGCACAGUGGCCUUUGUGACAUGGACAAAGAAUCAGUAUUCCGCAAGGAAAAUUUUGUCCUUUCAGUAAACCUGUGUCUCACUCAGCUGACAUGUGGAGAAGCACAGCGAGAGGCACUGCCCUUGAGGACAGGCAGCAAUUUGUGUCAUCCACCUCUCACGUGGUGUCACGUGCAUCAUAGACUUUAAAUCACCGAACCUUCGCUUCCAUCUACUGUUGCUUCUGGAUUCCCUCACCCAGUUCCCAGGGCAUAUGUUUGACCAGAUGGCUUGGACUUCUGGUGGCCGACUCAGCUGCUCAAGAACAUGGUUGUGCUUAACCUCAUCAACUUGACUCAGCUUCAGUUCAUCCUGGGGUAGGAGCAUGAUACUGAUCAGUUUAAUUAGUUUAAUGAGGGCUGAGGGAACUGGUCCAGAUUUUGAGUUUGUUGCACAGAACAAAUUGGUUUGCCUCCUUCCCUCAAUCAUUUUAGCAUUCGGAGGGAGAACUGCUCUCAUUAACCACUUAGGAAAAGGGCUUUACCCUCUUCCUCUCCUUUGAGGACUUGAGCACUGCCCAGGGUAACAUGGACUGGAGUCCAGGAACUUAGUUCUUCAAAAGGUGUGUUCCUAAACAAAAGAACUCAGAGUACACCAACUGAACAUUUAAUCUCCAGAAGACUGAACUCUCUUCCGUAGGAAUUUCUACUCCAAUAAUAGGCAGUGUUUUUGAGCAUUUUAUCUAAAGCAUGGUGUCCAAAGUGGGGUGCACAAGGAGAUCCUUUGAGGUUUGGGAAUAAAUGUUAGGAUUCCUUUUUGUUUAUUGA